GAGUUUGAUCAUGGCUCAGGAUGAACGCUAGCGACAGGCUUAACACAUGCAAGUCGAGGGGCAGCGGUGGUGAAGGCUUGCCUUUACCAGCCGGCGACCGGCGCACGGGUGAGUAACACGUAUGCAACCUGCCUGCCACAGCCGGAUAAUCGGGAGAAAUUCCGUCUAAUACGGCAUAAUGCAUCGACGGGACAUCCUGUUGGUGCCAAAGGUUGAUUCCGGUGGCGGAUGGGCAUGCGUCGCAUUAGUUAGUUGGCGGUGUAACGGACCACCAAGACGACGAUGCGUAGGGGUUCUGAGAGGAAGGUCCCCCACACUGGUACUGAGACACGGACCAGACUCCUACGGGAGGCAGCAGUGAGGAAUAUUGGUCAAUGGGCGGGAGCCUGAACCAGCCAAGUCGCGUGAGGGAUGACGGCCCUAUGGGUUGUAAACCUCUUUUGCCGGGGAGCAAAGUGCCGCACGUGUGCGGUUUGGAGAGUACCCGGAGAAAAAGCAUCGGCUAACUCCGUGCCAGCCG
rnacentral:rRNA from 1 species